UAGAGGGUAGUACAAUGGGAGUACGUAAAAUUUUGGGUUUUAUAGUACAGGUUCGAAUCCUGUUUUCUAGG
rnacentral:tRNA from 1 species